rnacentral:rRNA from 1 species
UGGGGGAUAUUGCGCAAUGGGGGCAACCCUGACGCAGCAACGCCGCGUGAAGGAUGAAGGUUUUCGGAUUGUAAACUUCUUUUAUUAAGGACGAAAAUUGACGGUACUUAAUGAAUAAGCUCCGGCUAACUACGUGCCAGCAGCCGCGGUAAUACGUAGGGAGCAAGCGUUGUCCGGAUUUACUGGGUGUAAAGGGUGCGUAGGCGGCUUUGCAAGUCAGAUGUGAAAUCUAUGGGCUCAACCCAUAAACUGCAUUUGAAACUGUAGAGCUUGAGUGAAGUAGAGGCAGGCGGAAUUCCCCGUGUAGCGGUGAAAUGCGUAGAGAUGGGGAGGAACACCAGUGGCGAAGGCGGCCUGCUGGGCUUUAACUGACGCUGAGGCACGAAAGCGUGGGUAGCAAACAGGAUUAGAUACCCUGGUAGUCCACGCUGUAAACGAUGAUUACUAGGUGUGGGGGGUCUGACCCCUUCCGUGCCGGAGUUAACACAAUAAGUAAUCCACCUGGGGAGUACGGCCGCAAGGUUGAAACUCAAAGGAAUUGACGGGGGCCCGCACAAGCAGUGGAGUAUGUGGUUUAAUUCGAAGCAACGCGAAGAACCUUACCAGGUCUUGACAUCCAACUAACGAAGUAGAGAUACAUUAGGUGCCCUUCGGGGAAAGUUGAGACAGGUGGUGCAUGGUUGUCGUCAGCUCGUGUCGUGAGAUGUUGGGUUAAGUCCCGCAACGAGCGCAACCCUUGCUAUUAGUUGCUACGCAAGAGCACUCUAAUAGGACUGCCGUUGACAAAACGGAGGAAGGUGGGGACGACGUCAAAUCAUCAUGCCCCUUAUGACCUGGGCUACACACGUACUACAAUGGAUGUUAACAGAGGGAAGCAAGACAGUGAUGUGGAGCAAACCCCUAAAAACAUUCUCAGUUCAGAUUGCAGGCUGCAACCCGCCUGCAUGAAGAUGGAAUUGCUAGUAAUCGCGGAUCAGAAUGCCGCGGUGAAUACGUUCCC